rnacentral:rRNA from 1 species
GUGAGGAAUUUUCCGCAAUGGGCGAAAGCCUGACGGAGCAAUGCCGCGUGAAGGAUGAAGGCCUAUGGGUUGUAAACUUCUUUUCUCAGAAAAGAAUUAUGACGGUAUCUGAGGAAUAAGCAUCGGCUAACUCUGUGCCAGCAGCCGCGGUAAGACAGAGGAUGCAAGCGUUAUCCGUAAUGAUUGGGCGUAAAGCGUCUGUAGGUUGAUUAAAAAGUAUUCUGUCAAAGAUUAGGGCUUAACCCUAGAUAGGCAGAAUAAACUUUUAAGCUAGAGUUUGGUAGAGGCAGAGGGAAUACCCGGUGGAGCGGUGAAAUGCGUAGAUAUCGGGAGGAACACCAAAGGCGAAGGCAGUCUGCUGGGCCAAUACUAAAACUGAGAGACGAAAGCGAGGGGAGCAAAUGGGAUUAGAUACCCGGGUAGUCC